rnacentral:rRNA from 1 species
CCUACGGGAGGCAGCAGUAGGGAAUCUUCCACAAUGGACGAAAGUCUGAUGGAGCAAUGCCGCGUGAGUGAAGAAGGUUUUGGGAUCGUAAAGCUCUGUUGCGAGGGAAGAACACGUACGGGAGUAACUGCCCGUACCUUGACGGUACCUCGUCAGAAAGCCACGGCUAACUACGUGCCAGCAGCCGCGGUAAUACGUAGGUGGCAAGCGUUGUCCGGAAUUAUUGGGCGUAAAGCGCGCGCAGGCGGUCCUUUAAGUCUGAUGUGAAAGCCCACGGCUCAACCGUGGAGGUCAUUGGAAACUGGGGGACUUGAGUACAGAAGAGGAAAGCGGAAUUCCACGUGUAGCGGUGAAAUGCGUAGAGAUGUGGAGGAACACCAGUGGCGAAGGCGGCUUUCUGGUCUGUAACUGACGCUGAGGCGCGAAAGCGUGGGGAGCAAACAGGAUUAGAUACCUGGUAGUCCACGCCGUAAACGAUGAGUGCUAGUGUUAGGGGGUUCCGCCCCUUAGUGCUGCAGCUAACGCAUUAAGCACUCCGCCUGGGGAGUACGGCCGCAAGCUGAAACUCAAAGGAAUUGACGGGGACCCGCACAAGCGGUGGAGCAUGUGUUUAAUUCGAAGCAACGCGAAGAACCUUAC